GCAAAUCCACACAGACUUAGGCUCUGAGCUGCCUAUGAGGACCAGAAAGCAGGUUGGUAAUGACCGAUGCAGUUGGUCCAGGGCAAGGCUGGGAUGCUGCUUAAUUGCUGGAAGCUGCUGGUUCUCCCUGAAGAUGCAGGCUUAGAGCCCCGGAGGAUGGCUCCGGAGGAACUGCAUGUUCAAACACAAGUCUGCCUUUUACUUCUCCGCCAGAACCCCUUGUUCUACAACAGCUUCAGGCCUCUUGGAUGUGUCUGCAUGUUGAGUGUGCCAAGACGGGACCAGAGCAUGGCUUUGGAGGACCCAUCUCAUUACUUACCUUUGCUGUCACUUGCUGGCACAUGGCAGAACCGUGGGGAGAGUGGAUGCUGCCGAGCACAGGAAGUGAGAAAGACCAAGAGUUCGGCCAACUCUGCUGAGAGAAGCAUCUUGGAGACGCUGCUGAGAAAGGGACCGAGGCAGCACAGGCCUGUGGCGCCACCUAGGGGAAGAAGUGCCGCUGGUGCAGGUGGACUCCUCACUGCAAAUCAACCCAAUUUAUGAAAAUGCAGGAUUCACGUGAAGAAUAAAAAGUGAGAUGGAGAGAAAGGAAAAGGAGAGUCACUGUUCACUUCAUAAAAAUUAUUUCAAUUAUUUCUCAAUUACAAAGGCAUUCCUUUUAGGUUAGGGUACCUUUAAAACUGUAUGUUCCCAUCCUUCAUUUUAAGUUAUUCAGUUUAGUAAGGAAUUUACAUUUUUUUUCCGUGAAGGUUUAAGAGAUGGCACUUAUUAUAUAAAAUUAUAAAACUUGUAAAAGAACUGGAUCACUCUCCAAAAGGGCAGUAUAGAUAUACCUGGUUUUAUAGAUUAUUCUUAUUCUCAUUUAAAUUUUUAAGUGAUAAAAAUGAAAACCUCAGAGUGUUAACAGAAGGAAAAUUUUCUUGUUUGAAUCUAUCUAGGAUGGAGGCCACUAGUUCUUUUUUUUAACUUUUUAAAUUGAGGUAUAGUUGACGUACAAUAUUAUAUGUUUCAGGUGUACAACAUAGUGAUUCACUUUUUAAAGGUUAUUCUCCAUUUAUAGUUAUUAUAAACUAUUGGAUAUAUUCACUG